GACGAACCGUGCGAACGUUGUUCGGAAUCACUGGGCUUAAAGGGCGCGUAGGCGGCAGAUCAAGUCCGGGGUGAAAUCCUCCAGCUCAACUGGAGAAGUGCCUUGGAUACUGGCAGUCUUGAAGUGGCUAGGGGGAGAUGGAAUUACCGGUGUAGCGGUGAAAUGCGUAGAGAUCGGUAGGAACACCAGUGGCGAAGGCGGUCUCCUGGGGCUAACUUGACGCUGAGACGCGAAAGCUGGGGGAGCGAACGGG
rnacentral:rRNA from 1 species